CAUAUGUCGUGAAAAGAUUAUCAAAAAGAAAUAAAAUAUAAUAAUGAUUUAGAGUUCUGAGAACAAUGCGUCAUAUGCAUUGGAUAAAUCAGUAGAACCAUAAGGUAAAGAGCCCCUAAACGAUGACAGGUAUGAUUUUAAAACCACCCAGUUUGUAUUUUACAUGCUGAAGAAAUUGUUACAAGUGAAGUCAAAAUUGAAAGGAUGAAAUCAUGAGUGCAUUCAAAACAGACUGAUCGAAUGAAAAGCGUUCAAUAAGGAAAUAUUAACCUCAUGAAAAGAAACCAUUUGAUGAAUCAUUGAGUUUCCUUUCACAGCAUUCAAGUUACAGAAAAAUGACGUUUUAUAUAAUAACCGGUGUUGCCUUGAAAGAUUUCGCUUUGUUACUUGAUGAACAAAAAGACCAGAGACGGCAUGUUCUCACUUGUAAUGAUAUUUACAUUUUGUGUAAAGGCGGUGUUUAUUUUCUUAUAUAAUUUGAUACGUUUUUCAUUUCAGUGACACUUUCUCACGUUCAUGAAAAUGUAAAAAUUUCAAAAUGUGCAAUCUGAAAGUGAGCAGCUACUAUCCUGCACAACCGUUCCCCGAAAGAUCAACUGAAACAUGAGACUUUAUUACAAAGGUAACAAGGCUAUAAAAUUAAUAUCAUAUAUGUUAUUAUCAAAUAUAUUUUGAUUACUGUUCCAAAUAUUCAAAUGUGUUCAAUAUUAAGAUAUGACAUAAAUAUCUGUGUCCUGUGAUUUUUUAAUUGUGUGUUAAGGAUCUUGAAGAAUUAAAAAAUCAGUUCUAUUACCACACGCCACACUAUCUAGAAUUCGCUAUCUUUAAAACACAUUGUGAAAUAUCUCAACUCCAUCGAUGAGCACAGAACAAAGAUUAUCGCUUUCGGAUCUUGUUUUUAUGGACUGGACAAUAAGUUGUGUUUUAUGCCCGGUGAAUACUGUUUCGCUUUCUUCGCCUGAGCCUGUCAACAACUCUAGUGCAGUAGACAGUCUGCCUCUAGUACACCACAAUGGAAGACCUAACCGACCGUCUUAUUAACGCGUUUUGAUUUGAAAAUCGGGUAAGAGGCAAUAGAGAGAGAAUAUUUUCUUUUUCAAAGCCAAUGUCACGCGCCAGAGUCAAAAUCGAAGCAUCUGCAGAUUGUGAAGUUCAUAUGUUUUAAUUGCCGUUCAGGUCAUUUUUUUCUUUUGUGAAGAGGGAUUUUGCUUUCAACGCGAAUGACCAUAAAUUGACCCUUCUUUCAAAAUGCAGCGCAUUUAUUUGAAAAAAAAUAUCUGUUUAAAAAACUGGCACCUGACGCAACGUGUGUUGAAAUUUUAACGUUUUAGAAAUCGCUGUUGUUGCGUUUUUCUGAUUUGUUCUGCAAUAAGCAUAUAUGUUUCAGAAUAAUUUUUUUUUUUGUUAUAUGUCCAUAUUCUUUAUACAUACGACACAGUUUACUAUAUUGCAUGUAGUUAUUGUUUGUUUUGUUAUUGUUUGUUUGUUUUAUUUGGAGUUUUUUACACCAAUAUACUCUGUCAGAAAUAAACGUU